AUUGAACGCUGGCGGCAGGCCUAACACAUGCAAGUCGAACGAGUGGCGGACGGGUGAGUAAUGUCUGGGAAACUGCCCGAUGGAGGGGGAUAACUACUGGAAACGGUAGCUAAUACCGCAUACCCUCGGAUGUGCCCAGAUGGGAUUAGCUAGUAGGUGGGGUAACGGCUCACCUAGGCGACGAUCCAUAGCUGGGCUGAGAGGAUGACCGGCAACACGGGAACUGAGACCCGGUCCAGACUCCUACGGGAGGCAGCAGUGGGGAAUAUUCCACAAUGGGCGCAAGCCUGAUGCAGCCAUGCCGGGUGUAUGAAGAAGGCCUUCGGUUUGUAAAGUACUUUCAGCGGGGAGGCGUUACUCGCAGAAGAAGCACCGGCUAACUCCGUGCCAGCAGCCGCGGUAAUUC
rnacentral:rRNA from 1 species